CAUGGCUCAGAUUGAACGCUGGCGGCAGGCCUAACACAUGCAAGUCGAGCGGAUGACAGGAGCUUGCUCCUGAAUUCAGCGGCGGACGGGUGAGUAAUGCCUAGGAAUCUGCCUGGUAGUGGGGGACAACGUUUCGAAAGGAACGCUAAUACCGCAUACGUCCUACGGGAGAAAGCAGGGGACCUUCGGGCCUUGCGCUAUCAGAUGAGCCUAGGUCGGAUUAGCUAGUUGGUGAGGUAAUGGCUCACCAAGGCGACGAUCCGUAACUGGUCUGAGAGGAUGAUCAGUCACACUGGAACUGAGACACGGUCCAGACUCCUACGGGAGGCAGCAGUGGGGAAUAUUGGACAAUGGGCGAAAGCCUGAUCCAGCCAUGCCGCGUGUGUGAAGAAGGUCUUCGGAUUGUAAAGCACUUUAAGUUGGGAGGAAGGGCAGUAACUUAAUACGUUGCCGUCUUGACGUUACCGACAGAAUAAGCACCGGC
rnacentral:rRNA from 1 species